AUUGAACGCUGGCGGCAGGCCUAACACAUGCAAGUCGAACGGUAACAGGAAGCAGCUUGCUGCUUUGCUGACGAGUGGCGGACGGGUGAGUAAUGUCUGGGAAACUGCCUGAUGGAGGGGGAUAACUACUGGAAACGGUAGCUAAUACCGCAUAACGUCGCAAGACCAAAGAGGGGGACCUUCGGGCCUCUUGCCAUCGGAUGUGCCCAGAUGGGAUUAGCUAGUAGGUGGGGUAAAGGCUCACCUAGGCGACGAUCCCUAGCUGGUCUGAGAGGAUGACCCGCCACACUGGAACUGAGACACGGUCCAGACUCCUACGGGAGGCAGCAGUGGGGAAUAUUGCAAAAUGGGCGAAAGCCUGAAGGAGUCAAGGCGCGUGGAUGAAGAAGGCCUUCGGGUUGUAAAAUUCUUUUAGGGGGGAAGAAAGGAGGUAAAUGUAAAACUUUACCCCUUGACGGUACCCGAUAAAGAAGCCACGGCUAACUCCGUG
rnacentral:rRNA from 1 species